AGAAUAUUGGGAGCUGUAGUUUGUUAAAGAUGUUGAGAGUUGAUAGGAGACACUUAACAAACUACAGCUCCCAGAAUUCU